CCACGGGCCCGGCGGCCAUCAGCACCCGCCAGAUCAGCCGGCCGGCUCUCAUGUGCACAGACCCGCCGACGGCCAGAACGGCACCGGCGGGGGCCAGAAGAUUUGCCCGGAGCCCCUGCCAUUCCCGGACCGAGUUGCCACAGUGGAUCGUCGAGAGAGCCGUAACGUCUACAUGUGCGGCAGCCGCGCCGCCUGGACCGCCAACGGCGUGCUGAACCGCUGCCGCAUCACCAGCGACGGCAUCGUGGUGCAGCACUUCUGCACCUGCUCCAGCGACCUCUGCAACGGCGCGCCGCGUGCCGCCGGCCCACCUACAGCCUUCGUGCUGCUGGCGGCAGCGCUGUACCGCUUGCAUGGUGCGGUUGGCUGAGGGAGCAGUCGUGAUGGCCAGCGGGUGGAAUCAGCUAGAGGUUAAUCGGGGUCAGCUGGAGGACUAUCAGGGGUCAGCAGAGGGCAAGCAUGGAUCGGCGGGCGGAGAUCGAUGGCGGCCGCAGGUGGCGCCAGCUGAUCGUUAGUUCGAUGUGAUUACUUGAAAACGACGUUGAGGUAAAAUGUGCACAGCCUCCAAUUCAUUGGCUGCAUCAAGAUAUGUUAGUGAGGAAAUGAAUGCUAAUUCUCCACACGAAAUAAACGUCAGAAUUGUA